GCAUUGGUGGUUCAGUGGUAGAAUCCUCGCCUGCCAAGCGGGGGGCCCGGGUUCGAUUCCCGGCCAAUGCA
rnacentral:tRNA from 1 species